rnacentral:rRNA from 1 species
UACGGAGGGUGCAAGCGUUAUCCGGAUUUACUGGGUUUAAAGGGAGCGCAGGCGGAUUAGUAAGUCAGUGGUGAAAGCCUUGAGCUUAACUCGAGAACUGCCAUUGAUACUAUUAGUCUUGAAUGUUGUUGAGGUUUGCGGAAUGGGUCAUGUAGCGGUGAAAAUGCAUAGAUAUGACCCGGAACACCUAUUGCGAAGGCAGCAGGCUAAACAAAUAUUGACGCUGAGGCUCGAAAGCGUGGGGAUCAAACAGG